rnacentral:tRNA from 1 species
GGAGGCUUAGCUCAGCUGGGAGAGCGUCUGCCUUACAAGCAGAGGGUCACAGGUUCGAGCCCUGUAGCCUCCAUCA